CAAGAAGUCUUUAUGAAGCAAGGAGCUGUGGCUUCUGAGAGCGCCUGAGACAGAGUGCCUGGUGGUGUUAUCGCUUCCCCGCACUGCCAGCGCAUACCCAGAAGCAGGGAAGGAGGAGAAAUGGCUCUGGCCUCCCCCUAAGUGAACCAAACUCACGAAGGCUCCUUGCAGGAGGGGACAGCAGAGACGGACACCCAGGAAGGAGGCACAGUGAGGACCCUGAGCCAGGGGCCGCAUUUGCAGCUGCUGCAGAUGCCUUUUGUGCCCCGUGGGACCCUGCAGCACUGCCUGGCUGUCCCUGCCCUCAGGGCGUGCGGGGAGGACUUUCCUUUUCUCUAGGAGGCAAACCCUUGGGACAGGGCGACUGCGUCCUUCAGGGCUUCCCUCCCAUACUUUCAGCUUCCCGCUCUGUGACCAGGGGAAGGAAGGCUGGGGCUGCAGGUGUGGCCCUGUGGUCACGGCCUGCUGUGUCCCCGCAGCACUCUGGCCCUGGAGGUUCCUGGGAAAUGCAAUGACCCUGGGCAGCUUACAGGGAUGGGCACAGGGAGCCUGGGGAGAGGGCGGGAGAGGCGCAGGUCCUAGCCCUGCUUCCUGUUGCUCUGUUAGCCAAAGCAGGUGACUUCCCACUCGCUGUUUCACAGGGGAGAAGUGGCCAUGUUUGCUCAAGUGUCAAAACCUCACUCAGCAACUGUUUGCCAUGGGUGAGGGAGAUCUUUUUUUUUUUUUUUUUUUUUUGGUACCGGGGAUCAAGCUCCGGUCCUUGCACUUGCAAGGCAGGCAUUGGAAUCACUGAGCUAAAUCCCCGGCCCUCAUGCUGUUUUCAACAUGAAAACUUUCUUUAAUAAAGUAACACACAAGCUUUAACAAAAAUAAGAUGCUAUGGUAAAAACUUUGCUCUGAAUCACGCCUGGGGGAAAGAAUGGAAACCAGGAAGGAGAAAAUACAGGCACGUGCUCACGUUUCCUCCUCCUUCAGCGAGGGAAAUCAGCCCAGCCUAAGCCGAAGGACAGCUGCACAGCUUCUACCAGGACAGGAGGCCGAGGAGAAAGGCAAGGCCUGAGAGGGCCAGGGUGCUAGACGUGAAUUCUGGUUUUUUGAGACAG
rnacentral:lncRNA from 1 species